CUCUCUUUCUCUCGUUUCUAUCGACCACUUAUCUUUCUUUCCCUUCGUCUUCAUCUUCCUUUCUCUCUUACAGAGAAAAAACUCUGCAAAAAAAUUGAUCGUCCACUUCCGUCUGCUUUUCACUCCAUUCUUUCAAAUACUAGUUAACAAUAAUCACCACUAUUCGUUCCCAUGUUUCCUUCAUUAAACUUCUCACUCGCACGCUCCCACCUUUAGGGUUUUAUGCAAUCUCUUAUUAUCAUUUACCAAACCCUAGGUCCAUUUUUUAGUCCAAUCUUUGAUCAAAGCCACUAUUCUUAUACAAGUAAUUGCUAUUUGUUUUAUAUUUACUCACUAUUCUUUUUAAUAAAAUGUUGGAUUUGUUCUGGUGGUGAUGUUGCAGCAAUUAAAGCUGCUCAAUUAGAUUUUGUAUGUUGUUCAUAUACCUUAUAAGUUUGUAAGAAGAUCUAGUAGCUAAUAAUGGCUCCAUCUCCUACAUCUAAAGUUUUAUUGUUAAGUUGUAUGGGUUUUGCUCCUUUAGUUGAAGUCAUAUGGAAGGUACCUUCGAAAAGUUUUUGAACCUCAAAAGAACAUUGAAGGAUGAAAUUGAUGAACAAGAAGAGGAUGGUAGGUGAAAUUAGUAUCUUAGUGAAAUAAUAAACAUUUCAUACUCUUUAAAGUGAGCUGAACUACUUAUUUUUGUUUAUUGUCUGUUGUAGGAGUUCAGAUUUGGAAAUUGGGACGAAUGGGAGCCAUAGGACAUCCCAAAUAUUGAUAGCUUUACGAUAUCAUCUUAAGAUUCUGAUUUCAUUAUGUCGCCAGUUUUCUCUGUUAGUUACCCUGUUUGACCUUAGAUUUAUACCAUGCGAAGCUUGUCUAUUGAGAAUAUUUUCAUGUGUUUAGAUUUUAAACAGAUUACUUACUUGAUUACUUGAAUAUCGAUAGCUUUACCGUACUAUCUUAAGAUUCUGAUUUUAGUAUGUCGCGAGUUGCCUCUGUUAGCUACCCAGUUUGACCUUAGAUUUAUGCCCUGCGAAGCUUGUCUAUUGAGAAUAUUUUCGUGUGUUUAGAUUUUAAAUAGAUUGCUUGCUUGAUUACUUGAUAGUUGAUAGGAUAUUUUUUGAGUGGGUUCUCAUAUGGUUAUAGCACCCAUCUAAUAGCUUUAAAACAAAAUCUACUUUGUGUUGAUCUCUGUAUUUACAAAGUAUAUUGUUUUCACAUAUUGCAAAUGCACUGUGAGAAGUUGAAACUGUGCUAGUAGCAGUCUGUUUAUCAUUCACUGGAUUCUAUGCUUUAUUUGCAGAUAGAUAGAUACGAGUCUUAUAUGAGAGGACAAAGAAUGAACUAUGCCUAAUGGAAGGCCGAUGUUGAGGCACUAAAUCAAAUUGUUUUCUGUUGUUUAUGUUCAUCAGCAUUACAUUGCUAAAUUAUCCAAAUUUUAUGUGGUUGAUAGAAGUUUGUUGAGGCCUGAGGUGAAGGGACCUUCAAGUUACAGCAGCAGGCGGCAAUCAAUAAUUCAUUGUUCAAGCUGAUGUUGCCGGUGCAUGUACUUGUGGGAUUCUUAGAAAAACUGUUACACCAGAUCUGUUCACCCGCUUAUCGAAUAACAACAUAAGCAGCAGGUAUGUGAUUCUAAGGUGUGCGGCUCAUCAGAUAGUUAGUUCUUCAUCAUAUAGAUCAUUAGAUAGUUAGUUUGCCCUAAUCUCUAAGAAAACUUAGAGCUUGUAUUGGUCAUAUUUCAGGUUUUGUUUCAAUUUUUUGGUGAUUCUGAAUCCAAUUGUCAACUGAAAUCAGCUUUGAUCAGUUUGUUGUAGUAUAAUGAAUUCUAAGAUUAAUUGAAUGGGGAAUGUUUUCAACUGAAGAAUUCAGGUUGUAUUUGAAUUAUUGAAUAUAGAUUGAAUUUUAGUU